rnacentral:tRNA from 1 species
GGCCUGGUAGCUCAGUUGGUAGAGCAGAGGACUGAAAAUCCUUGUGUCGCUGGUUCGAUUCCGGCCCGGGCCA